AUCCUAAUCAGCAGCAGACACCACCAAAGCAGCACCAUCAGAGGCCACCAAAACCACCAAAACACAGGCAUCCUCACUACCAACAACUAGCAGAACGACAAGGUUCUUCUCCUCAGUUGUGGAAACUACAAAGACAACCGUCUGAUCAUCAACCACAGACAGAACAACAACAAGAAGAAACACCACGAGCUACUCAGCAGCCUGACCAUCAACAACUGGCCCAGGAACAGCAGCGGCAUCAGCAGCCAUCGGCGCGAGAGCAGCACCCCCCUCGUCAGCAUCCAUGGAAACAGAAGCCUCAUCAGCAGCAUCAGCAGGGACUAGAUCUGCAGCAGCAUCAGCAGCCUACGAAGAGCAGGCCUCCCAGGGACAAAGAGGCACGGCAGAACCAACAGAUACAACAGGCCGCGUGUGAGCAGGCCGUCUUCCUGCCUCCCCCGCACGGCAUCCUGGGAGUCUGUGGCACCCAAUCAGACAGCGCCAUCAGCGGGCAGGAAGUGGUGACGGGCCAGCGUCUGUUCUACGGGGCGCGCGUGGGCAGCGAGACACGCAACGUGGAGUUCAAGA